UUUUUAUGCCUUUUUAACGUCAGAACAUCUAUGAAAGUAAAUCAACUGGACAAUGAAUUAUUUUAAAUAAACCAUAUUUCUAUAUGAUCAACAAUCAAUUAAAGGUAAAUAUUAUGCCUGCUGGAAAAAGAAAGAAACGAAGUGUUGUGUUUGCUUCAGCAAUGGCUCUUAUAAAAAUUAUCAAGCUUGGGUUCGAUUGUGCAGAUUCAGAUGCAAUAUCUAAAAGGUUGCAAAGCGAUGGCCUCAUCGAUGACAUAUUUUACUGGAUCUUUAAAAGAAACGAGACCUUGGGCACCAAAAAUUCAGUGUGAAUUUUUAUGGCUGGUCAUGUAUUGCGUAUUAUUGGAACUAGAAUUAUUUAGUUGUUACCAUGUCAAGGGAAAAGUCCAACAUAUGUUAGGUUUAACAGUUGGGGUUCUGAAAAGUGAGCUAUUUUUUUCAGGUAGAAACCUCUCACCUCAAAAUGGAGCUUUAAGAAUAUUAUAGCAUUCCUCACCAAAGAAUGCUAUAAUAAUAUAUCAUAUUGUUACAUAUCUCGAACAUUACUAACUGUAAUUCUAGCUAUGAAAGAAUAGCCAAAUUAUAUUGCAAAAAUAA